rnacentral:rRNA from 1 species
GACGAACGCUGGCGGCGUGCUUAACACAUGCAAGUCGAACGGAAAGGCCCUUCGGGGUUCUCGAGUGGCGAACGGGUGAGUGACACGUGGGUGAUCUUCCCUGCACUUUGGGAUAAGCCUGGGAAACUGUGUCUAAUACUGAAUACGACCACGCGCUUCAUGGUGUGUGGUGGAAUGUUGUUGCGGUGUGGGAUGGGCACUCGUCCUAUCAGCUUGUUGGUGGGGUAAUGGCCUACCAAGGCGACGACGGGUAGCCGGCCUGAGAGGGCGACCGGCCACACUGGGACUGAGAUACGGCCCAGACGCCUACGGGAGGCAUCAGUGGGGAAUAUUGCCCAAGGGGCGCAAGCCUGAUGCAGCGACGCCGCGUUAGGGAUGACGGCCUUCGGGUUUUAAACCUCUUUCGAUUGAGACGAAGCGUAAGUGACGGUACCUAUUUAAGAAGCACCGGCCAACUACGUG